UGCGCAAGUCGUCUUAUCGCUCCGAGCAAUCGGAGAGGAAAGUCCGGGCAACACAGAGCAUCGUACUUCCUAACAGGAAGGGUCAGGAAACUGAUACAGACAGUGCCACAGAAAAUAGACUACCUCAAAGCAAUUUGAGGAAAAGGUGAAAAGGCGGGGUAAGAGCCCACCGCUCCCAAAGCAAUGCGGGAGGCACGGCAAACCUUACGAGUUGAAAGGCCAAAUAGGUUCCGGAGGGUUGCUCGCCCGUGGAUAAUAUCCGUCGGAAUUGGGUAGGCUGCUAGACUUUGCUUGUGAAAGCAAAGCCAGAUAAAUGAUAGGAGUUCCCGUAAAAAAGGAAUACAGAACCCGGCUUACAGGCUUGCUUUUUGA
rnacentral:RNase_P_RNA from 1 species